rnacentral:lncRNA from 1 species
UUUAAAAGGAGACACAGAGAAAGAGAGAGAAUUAUACUCAAGGCAUAUGCUUGCGAAAAUAACAUAAGGCAACAAAAAGAAUAAUUCCAAUUUUUAAAAAGGGCCAAUGGAAAAUUGAUCAAGGAGACACAGGAAUGUGAACAUUAAAUACAAAUAAUAACAUAAUUUCAAAAAUAUUUUUAAGAACUGAAAGGAUUACAGGGAAAAUUUGGAAGAUUCACAAUCACCAUGGGAGGGUCUUUGUAGCACAGUUCUGUCAGGAAAUACAAUCAUAUAUUGCGUAACAAUAGGAAGAGGGAGGGAGAAAUGUGUCAUUAGGUGAUUCUGUCAUUGUUUGCUCAUCGUAGAGUAUACUGACUCAAACCUAGAUGGCAUAGUCUCCUGUAGGCCCAGGCUGUGUGGCAGAUCCUAUUGUUCCUAACCUACACACCUGUACAGCAUGUACAGGUACUAUAAGGGAUACUGUAAGCAACUGUAACACAAUGAUGCCUGCUCCAGCUGCCUCAUCUCCUCUUGUGUUCACAACAGACCUAGAAACCAGUGUCUCCCAGCAUGGUGACUUUCCAGAUGGGGAAACCGAGUCUUGGAGAAGUAUGAUGAACAUUCUAAGCCCUUCAACUGAUCAGACAAGGCCCACCCACAUCACGGUUCAUCCAAGUCUACUGGCUGUAAAUGUGCAUCACGCCUGCAGAUACCUUCACGGCAGCAUCUGGUUGGUGUUUGACCACACCUCUGGGCAUCGUAGCCGAGCCAGCUGACUCAGAGAUUUCACCACCUCAGGGAAGCUCAGUUCCAGGGUUCAGUCAUCCACUGUGCUUUGCUGAGUGACUGAACUGGGGACCAGGAGACCCAGGCCAGCACAGCUGAAGGCCGUCCUGGGGUGGGGCACAGGAGCUCAUGGCUGCGAAGGAGCUUGCAUUAGGGGGUCAGCAGGAGGCCACACUGGCUGUAAUACUGACAGAAUAUCAGGGUGAGAAGGGUCCUGCUGGGUGAGAUGCAGGGUCUCAAAGGUGACAGUCAUGCCAAGGGUGUGGAGGGAGGGGAUUGGGUGCAGGUGGUGUAGGACAGAAGGUUCUAUUCCAAAGGACAGAGCCAACUGCACAGCUCUAGCCUGGAGGAAAGCCCACGGCCCCUUGGCCCAGGCUCUGGCCAUGCAACAUGCAGCUCAGGGACCCAGACUUUGUAUCCCCUGGAGCUUCGUAGAAACAUGAGCCUCAGAGCCCAUUCCAGGCCUGCCUGCCACAACAGAAACCGAUGCUAACAAGCUCCCUGGGGUUCUGAGAGCACCGCCGUGUUUCUGUCGAGUGAGCCCUGGGACCCUUCCUGGCUCUUCCCAGGCUGCCAGCCCAUCCUCCUGCACAGUCCUCCUGCACUGUCCUCCUGGGCUUGCCUUGGUUCUCUGUGCGGAGCACUGACAUCCAUAGAGAGCACUGCCAUCAACUCCCUCUGGGUCUGUGCUUUCCUCCCAUUUCCCCCAAGCCAAGAUACAGAAGGUGCACGACACGGGCCCUGGGCAGGAGGACUUGAAAGCAACUUCCAUGGCUCACCCCUCACCAGGCUCUGAGCUGAUAUCUGACCACAGAGGGGAAUGUGGUGGGCGUGUGCUCUGCUGCGCACACGUGGUGCCCCUGCCCUGGAGGCUCAAGAUCCUGGAGCCAGGCAGGUCCGGGAGGUACCACGGGGGUGCUGUGGGCUCUCCCUGCCUUGGUCUCCUGCUCCAGGCCCAGCACCGGCAGCAGCGCAGCCUCAGAGUUUCCUGGAGGCUCCUUCAGGGAGGUCCCCGGGGUGGGGGGUGGGGGGCAUGAGCUUACUUAGGGGCCAAGAUGCUAGGAGACAGCACAAGCUCCACAGCAGCACAAGACGCCGGAGCUUCUCAUUCUUAUUCUGUUUUCUCUUCUGGUUCAAGGAGAGAGGCCACCUUUGUUGACAAACUGGUGUUUUAUACGGAGGCAUCAUCCGGCUGGAAUGGAGCUGUCCCCAUAACGGUGAGAGUACAUGUUGUGAUUUGAGGGAGGCUGAGCUUAACAAGGUGACAGCAUGCUCCCACCUGCACCCCGGCAUAAAAGCAUUUCCAUUUCGCUUGUA